rnacentral:rRNA from 1 species
GUCUAAGUAUAAGUGUUAUACAGCGAAACUGCGAAUGGCUCAUUAAAACAGUUAUAGUUUAUUUGAUAAUCGAAUUUACAUGGAUAACCGUGGUAAUUCUAGAGCUAAUACAUGCUGGUAUGCCCGACUUUUGCGGAAGGGCGGUAUUUAUUAGAUAACAAGCCAAUAUUCCUCUGGUCUAUUGUGGUGACUCAUAAUAACUGAUCGAAUCGCAAGGCCUUUGGCCGCGAUAAAUCAUUCAAGUUUCUGCCCCAUCAGCUUUCGAUGGUAGUGUAUUGGACUACCAUGGCGUUUACGGGUAACGGAGGAUUAGGGUUCGAUUCCGGAGAGGGAGCCUGAGAAACGGCUACCACAUCUAAGGAAGGCAGCAGGCGCGUAAAUUACCCAAUCCUGACUCAGGGAGGUAGUGACAAGAAAUAACGGACCGGUUCCUUCGGAUUCGGGAUUGCAAUGAGCCGAAUUUACACCCCUUAGCGAGGAUCGAUUGGAGGGCAAGUCUGG